UACGGGGGGGGCAAGCGUUGUUCGGAAUUACUGGGCGUAAAGGGCUCGUAGGCGGCCAACUAAGUCGGACGUGAAAUCCCUCGGCUCAACCGGGGAACUGCGUCCGAUACUGGAUGGCUUGAGUUCGGGAGAGGGAUGCGGAAUUCCAGGUGUAGCGGUGAAAUGCGUAGAUAUCCACAGGAACUCCGGUGGCGAAGGCGGCACGCUGGACCCUCUCUGACGCUGAGGCGCGAAAGCCAGGGGAGCGAACAGG
rnacentral:rRNA from 1 species